rnacentral:rRNA from 1 species
GCUAAAAAUUUAGCCCCACACAACACAAAUAUCCCAAAUAAACUAAAACAUUCAACUUACUUAGUACAGGCGAUAGAAAAGUACAUAGGAGCUUUAAAAAUAGUACCGCAAGGGAAUAAUGAAAUAAAAAUGAAAUAACCCUCAAGCACCACAAAGCAGAGUAUUUACCUCGUACCUUUUGCAUCAUGGUUUAGCUAGCCAACCCAAGCAAAAUGCAUUUAAGUUUGACCCCCCGAAACUUAGCGAGCUACUUCGAAACAGCCUUCCAGGGCCAACCCGUCUCUGUUGCAAAAGAGUGGGAAGAUUUCCAAGUAGAGGUGAUAGACCUAUCGAGCUAUGUGAUAGCUGGUUACUCAAGAAAAGGAUCUGAGUCCAUCCUUAAGCUUUCUCAUAAAUAAAAAUAAACUACCAAGCUUAAGAAACAUUCAAAUAAGGUACAGCCUAUUUGAAACAGGAAACAACCUCAAACAUAGGGUAAUAUUAUUUAUAAUAACCAAGUGGGCCUAAGAGCAGCCAACUUUUAAAAAGCGUUAAAGCUUAAUUAUUUAUAACAUAAAUUCCAAAAAUAUUGCCAAACCCCUAAACAAUAUUGAGUGAUUCUAUGCCCAUAUAGAAAACCCAAUGCUAAAACUAGUAACAAGAAGUAAACCUUCUCCUAAAUGUAAACGUAAGCCUAACAAACCUGGCACCUAUCGCCUGUGAACAAAAAGUGGAAACAACCCAAGAAAAAUCCACUAUCAUUAGCGUUAACCUUACACCAGAACAUUCCAGGAAAGAUUUAAAGGGAAGGAAGGAACUCGGCAAAAAUUAAUCCCGCCUGUUUACCAAAAACAUCGCCUUCUGGAAAAUUAUAGAAGGUCCAGCCUGCCCAGUGACGUAGUUAAACGGCCGCGGUACUCUAACCGUGCGAAGGUAGCGCAAUCACUUGUUCUUUAAAUGAGGACUAGUAUGAACGGCAUCACGAGGAUUAUACUGUCUCCCCCCCCUAAUCAGUGAAACUGAUCCCCCCGUGAAGAAGCGGGGAUAGAAAUAUAAGACGAGAAGACCCUAUGGAGCUUUAAACUUAGCACUACCUGCCUUUACGCAUCCCCUAACAAUUAGACAGUGAUCGUGCAUGUUUUAAGUUGGGGUGACUGCGGAGCAAAAACGAACCUCCGCGAUGACACACCUUAAAUCUGAGAACUACACUUCAAAGAAUCAAUAAGCUGACAUUUAUUGACCCAAACAAUUUGAUCAACGAACCAAGUUACCCUAGGGAUAACAGCGCAAUCCAUUUCAAGAGCUCAUAUCGACAAAUGGGUUUACGACCUCGAUGUUGGAUCAGGGUAUCCCAGUGGUGCAGCCGCUACUAAAGGUUCGUUUGUUCAACGAUUAAAACCCUACGUGAUCUGAGUUCAGACCGGAGUAAUCCAGGUCGGUUUCUAUCUAUAAAGAGUUUUUCCUAGUACGAAAGGACCGGAACAACAUGGCCAAUGCUGAAACAAGCCAUAGCCACUAAUUAAUGACUAUACUCAAUUAUGUCAUGGCCUAAAAAACGCCCGAGACAAGGGCUUU